rnacentral:rRNA from 1 species
CCUACGGGCGGCAGCAGUGGGGAAUAUUGGACAAUGGGCGCAAGCCUGAUCCAGCAAUACCGCGUGGGUGAAGAAGGCCUUCGGGUUGUAAAGCCCUUUUGUUGGGAAAGAAAUCCAGCUGGCUAAUACCCGGUUGGGAUGACGGUACCCAAAGAAUAAGCACCGGCUAACUUCGUGCCAGCAGCCGCGGUAAUACGACGGGUGCAAGCGUUACUCGGAAUUACUGGGCGUAAAGCGGGCGUAGGUGGUAGUGUAAGUCCGUGGUGAAAGCCCUGGGGUCAAGCUGGGAACGGCAGUGGAUACUGGGCGACUAGAGUGUGGUAGAGGGUAGCGGAAUUCCUGGUGUAGCAGUGAAAUGCGUAGAGAUCAGGAGGAACAGCCAGGGCGAAGGCAGCUACCUGGACCAACACUGACACUGAGGCACGAAAGCGUGGGGAGCAAACAGGAUUAGAUACCCGAGUAGUC